rnacentral:tRNA from 1 species
UCCCGUGUGGCUCAGUUGGUAGAGCAUGGUGUUUGCAACUCUAGGGUUCUGGGUUUGAUUCCCACGGGGGAA